rnacentral:SRP_RNA from 1 species
GCCCAGGAGCCCGGCGGUGCGAACCUACGAACCUUGUCAGGACCGAGAGGUAGCAGCAAUCAGUAGGACCUCGCAGGUGUCCGGGACCUCCUGGGCCCU